UAGGGAAUCUUCGGCAAUGGACGAAAGUCUGACCGAGCAACGCCGCGUGAGUGAAGAAGGUUUUUGGAUCGUAAAACUCUGUUGUUAGAGAAGAACAAGGACGUUAGUAACUGAACGUCCCCUGACGGUAUCUAACCAGAAAGCCACGGCUAACUACGUGCCAGCAGCCGCGGUAAUACGUAGGUGGCAAGCGUUGUCCGGAUUUAUUGGGCGUAAAGCGAGCGCAGGCGGUUUCUUAAGUCUGAUGUGAAAGCCCCCGGCUCAACCGGGGAGGGUCAUUGGAAACUGGGAGACUUGAGUGCAGAAGAGGAGAGUGGAAUUCCAUGUGUAGCGGUGAAAUGCGUAGAUAUAUGGAGAAACGCCAGUGGCGAAGGCGGCUCUCUGGUCUGUAACUGACGCUGGGGCUCGAAAGCGCGGGGAGCAAACAGG
rnacentral:rRNA from 1 species